GUACCGUCAUUAUCGUUCCUGACGAAAGAACUUUACACCCCGAAGGGCUUCAUCGUUCACGCGGCGUCGCUGCAUCAGAGUUUCCUCCAUUGUGCAAGAUUCCCCACUGCUGCCUCC
rnacentral:rRNA from 1 species